rnacentral:lncRNA from 1 species
GGUUCAUCCAUGUCCCUGCAAAGGGCAUGAACUCAUCGUUUUUGAUGGCUGCAUAGUAUUCCAUGGUAUAUAUGUGCCACAUUUUCCCUGUCCAGUCUAUUAUCAAUGAGCAUUUGGGUUGGUUCCAGGUCUUUGCUAAUGUAAACAGUGCUGCAAUGAACAUUCGUGUGCACGUGUCCUUAUAGUAGAACAAUUUAAAAUCCUUUGGAUAUAUACCCAGUAAUGGGAUUGCUGGGUCAAAUGGAAUUUCUAUUUCUAGGUCCUUGAGGAAUGGCCGCACUGUCUUCCACAAUGGUUGAACUAAUUUACACUCCCACCACCCCAGGACCUUUUCAACUGCCAAGACCAAGACUUUGUUCAUGAGGAAGAGGAUGUGGCUCAGUGUGGCACGGAGGCACGUGAAUGCCCGCAUGCAGAGGGGAUGCUUGAAAAUUAAACCACCCGUAAAGCAAGGCGUUAUAAACGGGCUGUGAGUGUGGCCAGCACUGAUCUGAGCAACAGAGGUCCGGAUUUGCUAAGCCUCACAGGUCUUCUAAGGCUAUGCUCUCCUAGCCGGAUCCACACAUCAUCUCCGGCGACCUGCCGGCUGGUCCUCGCUCCCAUAUCAUUUGAAAGCACUCCCGGCCUUUGUUUCCUUCUAGAACACAUGUUGACCUGCAAAGAGCAUGUGCUUCAGGUAAAAUUAUAUUG